rnacentral:rRNA from 1 species
AGUGAACGCUGGCGGUAGGCCUAACACAUGCAAGUCGAACGGCAGCACAGUAAGAGCUUGCUCUUACGGGUGGCGAGUGGCGGACGGGUGAGGAAUACAUCGGAAUCUACUUUUUCGUGGGGGAUAACGUAGGGAAACUUACGCUAAUACCGCAUACGACCUACGGGUGAAAGCAGGGGAUCUUCGGACCUUGCGCGAUUGAAUGAGCCGAUGUCGGAUUAGCUAGUUGGCGGGGUAAAGGCCCACCAAGGCGACGAUCCGUAGCUGGUCUGUGAGGAUGAUCAGCCACACUGGAACUGAGACACGGUCCAGACUCCUACGGGAGGCAGCAGUGGGGAAUAUUGGACAAUGGGCGCAAGCCUGAUCCAGCCAUACCGCGUGGGUGAAGAAGGCCUUCGGGUUGUAAAGCCCUUUUGCUGGGAAAGAAAAGCAGCAGGUUAAUACCCCGCUGUUCUGACGGUACCCAAAGAAUAAGCACCGGCUAACUUCGUG